GGGUGAUUAGCUCAGCUGGUAGAGCGCCUGCCUUACAAGCAGGAUGUCGGCGGUUCGAGCCCGUCAUCGCCCA
rnacentral:tRNA from 1 species